rnacentral:lncRNA from 1 species
CCAAUUUCAAAAUAUCAAGUAGACUUCUCAAUCAUUAUGCAAGACAUCCAAAUAAACAACAAACCUCUAACCUCCUAACCUCAAAGAAGGACUUUGAACUCAUCAAAUUUAAGUUUGCUCACCUACUCUCAUCAAAGAAAGUUAAUAAAAUCACCUAUCUAUCAUGAAACAAGUGCCCUCACAAGAAGAAAUAGUCCACACACUCAAAUAAAAAGAUUGAAUAUAAAUUAAG